GAUCCUGGCUCAGGAUGAACGCUGGCGGCGUGCUUAACACAUGCAAGUCGAGCGAAGCACUUAUGAAAGAUUCUUCGGAUGAAUUCAUUUGUGACUGAGCGGCGGACGGGUGAGUAACGCGUGGGUAACCUGCCUCAUACAGGGGGAUAACAGUUAGAAAUGACUGCUAAUACCGCAUAAGACCACAGCACCGCAUGGUGCAGGGGUAAAAACUCCGGUGGU
rnacentral:rRNA from 1 species